rnacentral:tRNA from 1 species
AGGAUAAUAGUUUAUUUAAAACAUUUAAAUUGCAAUUAAAACAUAUUAAAAUUUUAAUUUAUCUUA